AUGCUCGCUUCAGCACAUAUACUAAAAUUGGAACAAUGCAGAGAAGAUUAGCACGGUCCCUGCACAAGGAUGACAGGCAAAUCCGUGAAGUGUUCCAUAUUUUC
rnacentral:snRNA from 13 species